rnacentral:rRNA from 1 species
CCUACGGGAGGCAGCAGUGAGGAAUAUUGGUCAAUGGGCGGAAACCUGAACCAGCCAAGUAGCGUGCAGGAUGACGGCCCUACGGGUUGUACACUGCUUUUAUACGGUAAUAACGCGCCUUACGUGUAGGGCUUUGCAUGUACCGUAUGAAUAAGGACCGGCUAAUUCCGUGCCAGCAGCCGCGGUAAUACGGACGGUCCGGGCGUUAUCCGGAUUUAUUGGGUUUAAAGGGAGCGUCGGCCGCACGUCAAGCGUGCUGUGAAAUGGCCGGUGUCAACCCGGGCCUUGCAGCGCGGACUGGCGUGCUUGAGUCCGCGGAAAGCAGGCGGAAUUCGGCGUGUAGCGGUGAAAUGCUUAGAUAUGACGAAGAACCCCGAUUGCGAAGGCAGCUUGCUGCAGCGGAACUGACGCUGAUGCUCGAAAGCGCGGGUAUCGAACAGGAUUAGAUACCCGGGUAGUC